GUGUGGGUCCGUGAGGUGCGGGCUGGGCCGCCCUGGGGUGUGGGGAGAUAAAGGGAUCCACAUCCAAGUCACCUCUUUCCCGCUUUGGGGCUUGGUGCCUCCGCUGUCUCGUAGCUCCUCAUGCCGAUGGCCUUGCUCAUAUCAGGUGUCUGAAGGGGGCAGUUUCUGAGGAUCUGUGUCCUGAUGGCUUCUGAAGCUUCUACUCCAGAUUCAAAGGCAACAGUCUUCAGGAGAACCCAACAGUUCACAUCUUUAUUUGGUUAUGCCGCCUGGCUCAACAAAUCUUCCUCAAUGAAUUCCUGGGUUAUCAGGUGGUGAAACAGACAGAAGGAGAGAGCAUUGGAACAUCAGAGAAGGGUGUGGACUUCGAGUCCCAGGAGCAGGAUCCAAUAGAGAAGAACCAAGUGUGAUGUCGAGUCUACUAGACAGGUUCCUGGAACAAGAGUGUAAGGUAAGUCACCACCCUUCCCUCCAUUGUCUUCUAUACAUCAGGAUAACAGUACUCAAUGUUUCUGACCACCCAGGAGUAUUGUGGGCUUUAGGUAUGAGCCCAUGUGGGAAAGCAAUC